AUUGAACGCUGGCGGCAGGCCUAACACAUGCAAGUCGAACGAGUGGCGGACGGGUGAGUAAUGUCUGGGAAACUGCCUGAUGGAGGGGGAUAACUACUGGAAACGGUAGAUACUACCGCAUACCAUCAGAUGUGCCGAGUGGGGAGUUGGUUGUUGGGGGGGUAACGGCUCACCAAGGCGACGAUCCCUAGCUGGUCUGAGAGGAUGAGCAGCCACACUGGAACUGAGCCACGGUCCAGACUCCUACGGGAGGCAGCAGUGGGGAAUAUUGCACAAUGGGCGCAAGCCUGAUUGAGCCAUGCCGCGUGUAUGAAGAAGGCCUUCGGGUUGUAAAGUACUUUCAGUGGGGAGGCGGUACCCGCAGAAGAAGCACCGGCUAACUCCGUGCCAGCAGCCGCGGUAAUUC
rnacentral:rRNA from 1 species